AAGACUAUACUUUCAGGGAUCAUUUCUAUAGUUUGUAACAUAUAGUUGUAACUGUAAACUAAAAAUUAAUCACUAUUUGA
rnacentral:snoRNA from 2 species